rnacentral:rRNA from 1 species
UAGGGAAUCUUCGGCAAUGGGGGGAACCCUGACCGAGCAACGCCGCGUGAGUGAAGAAGGUUUUCGGAUCGUAAAGCUCUGUUGUAAGAGAAGAACGUUAGUAAGAGUGGAAAGUUUACUAAGUGACGGUAUCUUACCAGAAAGGGACGGCUAACUACGUGCCAGCAGCCGCGGUAAUACGUAGGUCCCGAGCGUUGUCCGGAUUUAUUGGGCGUAAAGCGAGCGCAGGCGGUUAGAUAAGUCUGAAGUAAAAGGCUGUGGCUUAACCAUAGUAUGCUUUGGAAACUGUUUAACUUGAGUGCAGAAGGGGAGAGUGGAAUUCCAUGUGUAGCGGUGAAAUGCGUAGAUAUAUGGAGGAACACCGGUGGCGAAAGCGGCUCUCUGGUCUGUAACUGACGCUGAGGCUCGAAAGCGUGGGUAGCGAACAGG